GGGGGGUGACGCAGGUGAGGGGCUCUAAGGCAUUUCUCGUUUGUGGAAUCAUACCUACGGCCUUUAGGAUUCAGAAAUGCGGGUCUUUUUGGGGGCGAAUUGGGGUUAUGCUGAUAUUGGAGAGUAGGAUGUGUAGGGCACCGAAUGCAGUUAAAUAUUGUCGUGGGGAGACGUUGCAUUGUGCAAUGGCCAAGCUCUGGAUGGUAUAGUGACCGUGAUUGCUCGUUUUUUUUUUCGUUUCGUUGAUGAUCAGGAGGUUACUGGAUUUAUCGCCCCAACCCCAUUACAACUUUCUAGUCAUGAUCAACAAGCUUCUGAAUCCAUAAACUUUAGGCCUACUUGUGUGCCUUCAAUUACUUUCUUGCAAUUUAGUUAUUUUUCAAUGUUUCUGUACUAAAUAAUAGUAGAGUAAAUUUCAUAAAACCACAAAGAUUAAGCAUUUUCAUUUUGCUACUGUACCAAGUUAAAUUGGUUAAGGGUGUGGUUUUGUGAGAUUUAUUCUAAAUAGUAUAAUUACCAUGUGAGUCUAAUAUAUCAAAAUAGAGAAUGCAUCAUUGAUACAUUUUUAUUCUGGAACUUAUUGUAUAUUUAAAUUGUUGCCCACCUCAACUUCGGGCCCUGUUUUUGUUGUUAAAUACUAUAGGCUUAUCGAUUGUGACAAAAAUCUGAAAAGAUAACUGAAUACAUAGAAAAGUUGAUGAUUUUGCAACCAACUGGCUGGGAAACUUUUUGUAAUUGUGUACAAGCUAGAGCAUAUGUAUACUGCUUGAUUAGUCAAAUGAAGGAAGGUACAAACUGUGGCACCUAGGAAUGAUUGUUAACAGUGUGUGGAUUCCAAACUACCACACUUCAGUUUUGUUUCAACCCAUUAGAGUUAAUUACCCUACUUUCUGCUUUCUGACACCGGAUAAUUUAAUAGCAUUCAGUGUUCCCCUUUGUGGAUGCCAAGGUCACAGAGCAGAUUUUUCCUGCUAUGGUCUGUUGUAGUGCCAAGAGUAAGAUUGAUAUUGUGUUUGAGGAACAACUGCAUAAAUUUUGAUUCCUUUUUGUGUGUUUGUAUGUGCAAUGUGCAUGCACAAAGCCUAGUUAACUGACAUAACAUGUAGUUCGUAGAGUUUUUCCCUCAGACCAAGCUUGCCACCUGUUAAUAAACCAAAUGUACCAGUUGCAUUCUCGUGAGUUCAUCCAUGCAAUCAAGGAUGGUAAAGAGCAUCAUGUCUUAUAGAAAUGUUCAAGUAUGCAGCAGUCCUGCUUUCCCUUACUGCUGAUAAGAGCCAUUCUGUUGGAUAUGCAUUUACUAUGAUGUGCAGAAUACGCGAUGAUACCCAAAAUAGUUAUUCCACAGAGUGUAUGCACAUUAGACAUGAUUCAUUAAUGCUUUUGAUAGAGGGAAAUAUUUAGAUUAGAAGUUGUGAUUUUGUUGGUCAAGAUUAUCAUGAAGUAAUAUAACAGGCUUAUAUAGAAUAUUACUACCGCUCUAUUGGCAGAGCAUAUUAUCUUGUGUUUGAAACUUCAGAGAAGUAUCUUUUGAAAUUACUAACGGGGUAUGUGGCUAUUCGCUGUAUUCCUGAAUAGUUGACAUUCAAGAAUUCACACAUGAAAAAAUGACAUCUUUACAGAAGAUCAAACUGCUGUUCCAUUCCCUACUCUCUAGGAUAACCAGUUCCCUGUUUAGCUAUUUGACUAAUAUGCACAUCGAACACUAGUGGAUCAAGAGCUGGUUAUGCCUGAGCACUUGUGAUAUACUUGUGAGUUGUCUAAUUUGUCAGGAGGGUAAAUUUUAAAUAUACGUGGCAUUAUGCAGUGAGGAGUAUAUACUAUGAAGGGAGGAGUAUAUACUAUAUAAGUAAAUGCUAGUGAAUGAGGAAGGAUGAAAACUUGUCUGUAAAAGUUAAUGAAAUGCAUUUAGGAACAUAUUUUGAAAGUUUUCGCUUAUAUUCUAGAACAGAGGGUGUAUCAUCUAUGUUUUCCAUCAGUUUCUGCCAUUUGGAUUUCCAAUAAAUGAUUUGUAAUAUCUUAAUCAUAAGAAGUCGCAUCAUACCUUUUAUACUCUGUGUGUAGUUGGCGAUGCUUUUGUUAUAGAAAGCACAACAAAUGUGAAAUUUCCUCGAGAGAUAGCUGUUCCAGGCUGCACAGAACCUUUAAUCAUUCUUGGAACAGGUACAUUUUCUUGUCCUAUUCCCUAUGAGAUUAAAUCAGCAUUAUUAUGCUUUACUUCGCAUGCAUAGAAAUACCUCCUAAGUUUGGUUCUGUAACAAAUAUUGUCAAUCAAUUUCUUUGGCUGACUGACACAACAUGAAGGACCAUUUGAAUUUUUUUCAUCAGUCAUUACAUAUUGCUUCUGUAGUUAACUAUAAUGGACAUUUUGUUGGGAAACUGUCCAAAAUAUCUGCUAGAGUUCAUUGAAUAUGUGUUAUCUCAAAUAACCAUUUGUCUGUUAACAACUGAGCUGAUUGUCUCUUGUUCUAGGAAUAAUUUGUUGGUGUAUGGCCUGUGAGGCCUAGUAGAGCCCAUUAGAGGCCCAUGUAUCAGUG
rnacentral:lncRNA from 1 species